rnacentral:rRNA from 1 species
GCAUAAUGUCUACGGACCAAAGGGGGCUUCGGCUCUCGCCUUUAGAUUGGCCCAAGUGGGAUUAGCUAGUUGGUGAGGUAAUGGCUCACCAAGGCGACGAUCCCUAGCUGGUUUGAGAGGAUGAUCAGCCACACUGGGACUGAGACACGGCCCAGAUUCCUACGGGAGGCAGCAGUGGGGAAUAUUGCACAAUGGGCGCAAGCCUGAUGCAGCCAUGCCGCGUGUGUGAAGAAGGCCUUCGGGUUGUAAAGCACUUUCAGUCAGGAGGAAAGGUUAGUAGUUAAUACCUGCUAGCUGUGACGUUACUGACAGAAGAAGCACCGGCUAACUCCGUGCCAGCAGCCGCGGUAAUACGGAGGGUGCGAGCGUUAAUCGGAAUUACUGGGCGUAAAGCGUACGCAGGCGGUUUGUUAAGCGAGAUGUGAAAGCCCCGGGCUCAACCUGGGAACUGCAUUUCGAACUGGCAAACUAGAGUGUGAUAGAGGGUGGUAGAAUUUCAGGUGUAGCGGUGAAAUGCGUAGAGAUCUGAAGGAAUACCGAUGGCGAAGGCAGCCACCUGGGUCAACACUGACGCUCAUGUACGAAAGCGUGGGGAGCAAACAGGAUUAGAUACCCUGGUAGUCCACGCCGUAAACGAUGUCUACUAGAAGCUCGGAACCUCGGUUCUGUUUUUCAAAGCUAACGCAUUAAGUAGACCGCCUGGGGAGUACGGCCGCAAGGUUAAAACUCAAAUGAAUUGACGGGGGCCCGCACAAGCGGUGGAGCAUGUGGUUUAAUUCGAUGCAACGCGAAGAACCUUACCUACACUUGACAUACAGAGAACUUACUAGAGAUGGUUUGGUGCCUUCGGGAACUCUGAUACAGGUGCUGCAUGGCUGUCGUCAGCUCGUGUUGUGAGAUGUUGGGGUUAAGUCCCGCAACGAGCGCAACCCCUAUCCUUAGUUGCUAGCAGGUAAUGCUGAGAACUCUAAGGAGACUGCCGGUGAUAAACCGGAGGAAGGUGGGGACGACGUCAAGUCAUCAUGGCCCUUACGUGUAGGGCUACACACGUGCUACAAUGGCGCAUACAGAGUGCUGCGAACUCGCGAGAGUAAGCGAAUCACUUAAAGUGCGUCGUAGUCCGGAUUGGAGUCUGCAACUCGACUCCAUGAAGUCGGAAUCGCUAGUAAUCGCGUAUCAGAAUGACGCGGUGAAUACGUUCCCGGGCCUUGUACACACCGCCCGUCACACCAUGGGAGUGGGUUGCUCCAGAAGUAGAUAGUCUAACCCUCGGGAGGACGUUACCACGGAGGAUUCAUUGG